UUUGGAUCUCAGUGGCGUAGGACGUAUUUUAAAUCUCGGGAGUAAAUCUUUUGUGUUAACUUUGCGUUUCGGGACUUGGAUUGGCUUCGAGGAGCAGAUUUUUUGAUUUUGGUGUGAAUGGAGUGAUUUGCAUGAGUAUGAACGACACGCCGGGCGGUGGCGGUGGAUACGGUGAUGGAAGCGCCCGCGCCUACGGCACCGGAGAUGGGGGUGCGGGCGGGAUGGGCGGGCGGAGGAGCCACGCCCGCAGCGCCUCCCACGGGGGCAUUAUGAUCACCCACCAGCCUCAUCUGGAUCAGGGCCAUGCGGCGGGCACUAUGCCGGUGGGCGUGGGCGGGCUCGGAGGCCCUCCGACGAGCAGCGGCGGGGGCGGCAGCGGUGGCGGAAGCGGCGGAGGGUACGUGAAGGGGCACCAGCGGGCGUUCUCGCACGGGCAGCUGGUGGAGGGCGGGCGGGGGCACCGGAGGGCAGGCUCGAGGACGGACUUCAUCCUGCCGGAGGGCCACGAGCAGCGCACGCGGGAGCGGGAGCAGCAGCAGCAGAACAAGAAGACGCUGAGCCGCUCGUCCUCGUUCCCGAAGGGCCACUCGCGCCAGGCCUCGCGCUCCGAGUCCAUCUACACCAUCCGCCAGCACAAGAGGACGCUCAAGCAGAAGAUCAUGUUCUGGAAGAAGGUUCCCGAGGAGUCGCGGACGCGCGUGGUGGUGGCCAAUCACGUGGUUCCGCCGCACGUGUCGCGCGCGCAGCACCCCAACGGCUCGUACCCUGACAACCGCAUCUGUACCACGAAGUACACCAUCCUCUCCUUUCUGCCCAAGAACCUGUUCGAGCAGUUCCACAGGUUCGCCAAUCUGUACUUCCUGUUCAUCGUCCUGCUCAACUUCGUGCCGGCGGUGAAUGCCUUCGGGAAGGAGGUGGCGAUGCUGCCCCUCAUCUUCGUGCUGGGCAUCACCGCCAUCAAGGAUGCCUUCGAGGACCGCCGCAGAUGGCACUCGGACAACCGUGUCAACAAUGCCACUUGCCGCGUCUACAACAGAGACCAAGGAAGGUACGUGAAGACGAAGUGGAAACACGUGAGAGUGGGCGACAUCAUCCACCUGUCCUGCAAUGAAACCAUCCCGGCUGAUAUGGUUGUUCUCAACUCCUCGGACGAGUAUGGGAUGUGUUUCAUCGAGUCUUCCAAUCUGGAUGGAGAGAGCAACCUGAAGCAGAGGCAGGCGGUGAAGGGACUUGGCAUGGAUGAAAGGUUUGAGGUCUCGAAGUUUGACUACUUGAUGGAGAUUGGCGCGCCUUCGACCAAGAUCUACCACUUCACCGGCACCAUCCCUCUGCCUUCAGGGGAGCGCGUGCCCCUCACCAAGGACAAUCUCUUGCUGAGAGACUGUGCCCUUCGAAAUACAGAUUUUAUUGAAGGCAUUGUUGUUUAUGCAGGACGUGAAACAAAAGCCAUGUUGAAUAAUGGUGGCACAAGAUACAAACGUUCGAAGCUUGAGCGCAGGAUGAACAUUGAGGUCAUCUGGUGUGUGGUCAUCCUGUUCGUCAUGUGCCUCGUGUCUGCAGCAGGAUCGGGUCUGUGGCAGAGUUCCUAUGAAGUGAACGCCACGCUGGGGUUGGUCCCUUUCAUUCCGCCAGAAAGCUUGACGGCGACCAGCACAAGAUUGAAACUGUCAAACAACUCUAUAUGGGUUGGAUUUAUAAGUUUCUGGACCUUUGUAAUCAUUUAUCAGGUUAUCAUUCCAAUAUCACUUUAUGUAACCAUUGAAGUAAUAAAGUUGAUGCAGGUUUACCAUAUACAUAAUGACAAAGACUUCAAAGACAAGAAAAGUGGGAAAACAAUUGAGUGCAGGGCACUGAAUAUCCCCGAAGAAUUGGGCCAAGUGGAGUAUGUGUUCACGGAUAAGACCGGAACACUGACGGAAAACAACAUGGUCUUCCAGCGUUGCUCAAUUAACGGCACUGACUACCCUCAUACUCCUGUUAUUGUUAGCAAGGAAGAGAAAAAGUCUGAUCAGCGGGACACAUUCACUCUGAACAAUCAGCUGCAGGAAGAUUUAGCUUCUGUUGAACUUCCAAUGAUUUAUGCUCAGCCAGGGAGUCGACAGAAUCCAUCCUCCAUCACUCCAGCAAAAGAUUCUCCCUCUCAGAGAAUCAUUGAUUUCUUCUUCACCCUGGCAGCAUGCAAUACUGUUAUUGUGGCAAAGUAUCCACAUCAUGAUCAGAUGAAUGCAAGUGGUAUGAUAGUGCCAAAUGAAAGUGCCAACAAUUCCAGUAUUAGUGAGGUGGACAACACUUCCUUCAAUACCACCACCAGUAGUAUCGGUUCCACAUCUUGGGCUCCUAACCGUCUGUUACGAGGCCUGCUCUCAUUUUCCCGCCCAUUGUCCCCCAUUGCUUCCUCUCCACGCAGCACCCCCCCACUCACCCCAGAGGCCUCGCCACGUUACUCCGUCCCACCUGCUCGCCAGACUCCACCCUCAGUCAGUAUCACCCUCAACCCCAUCAGCCACUCUAACAACCUCGAAAGUGUCCAAGAGUCGCCUGGCAGCCUUCACCAUUCUGCUAACACCAGCCCGACCAGACCUUCCCUCCUCAACAUCCAGGCAGCACAAAUAUAUAAUUCUAAUAUAAUGAGGGAGACACGUUCCCUCACCCCUUCCCCCAUGGACAUCAAGCCCAUCUAUGAAGCUGAGAGUCCAGACGAACUGGCACUUGUGGAUGCUGCGUACAAAUAUGGGUGUCGCUUACUCAGGAGGUCCUUGCACAAUAUUCUUGUGUCUUUACCAGGAUAUGGGCUUCGUGAAUAUGAAGUCUUGCACAUUCUUCCAUUUGAUUCAAAUCGCAAGAGAAUGUCCAUUAUUGUCCGAGAUCCUGAGACACAGGAGAAAGUUCUCUAUUGCAAAGGUGCUGAUUCUGCCAUUCUAGACAAUUUAAGUAGAGCAGUAGAUGAUAAGACCAAGCUGAGAAUAUUCCGCACUCAGCAGCACCUUAACAUCUACUCUAAGAAAGGUCUUCGCGUCCUUUGCAUGGCCAAGAGAGUCCUCACAGAGGCAGAGUAUGAAGACUGGGCCAUGAAGCACAAAGAGGCCGAGAACGCACUUUCAAACCGAGAGCGUAAACUCCAAGACUCAUAUCUUAGAAUAGAGAGAAAUUUAAGUUUAAUAGGUGCCACUGGUAUAGAGGAUAGGUUGCAGGAUGGUGUACCUGAAACAAUCAAGGCCAUGAGAAAUGCUGGUAUUGUAGUUUGGGUGCUAACAGGAGACAAACAGGAAACAGCUGUUAAUAUUGCUUAUUCAUGUGCUCUGUUUUCUUCUGAUAUGGAGAUUCUGAAACUGAAUGCUCGCACAAAAGACCAAGCAGACAGAACGAUUCAAUUCUACACGCAACAAAUAGAACAGCAAGAGGAAGCCUGGCAACGGCAGCAGUUACAGGCAGCGGCCAACGGUAGUAUUGGUACAUCAAGAGAUCAUGCCGUCGAAUUUUCAAACCUUCAGAACGACAACAGCAACCAACCCAGGCCACUCAAAGAACGAGGGCUGGUGGUCGAUGGAAGAACUCUUAUAUUUAUUCUGGAUCGACGGGCAAAUUUGAAGAAGGCUUUCCUUAAUCUUGCUGGCAAGUGUUCUGCUGUAUUAUGCUGUAGAGCAACACCUCUACAGAAAUCUCUUAUUGUUCGAAGUGCCAAGGAUAGUCUUAAGGUUCUUACUUUGGCAGUGGGUGAUGGUGCCAAUGAUGUGCCAAUGAUUCAGACUGCUGAUGUGGGAGUAGGGAUCUCUGGCCUUGAAGGAAAGCAAGCAGUGAUGGCGUCGGAUUAUGCCAUCGCCCGAUUUAAACAUCUAGAGAAAUUACUACUAGUCCAUGGCCAUUGGUGCUAUGACAGGCUUUCAAGAAUUAUUUUGUACUUCUUCUAUAAAAAUGCUUCCUUUGUAAUGAUCCUGCUAUGCUACCAGCUGUACACUGGCUUCAGCGGCAGCAGCAUGAUUGACCAGAUGUACCUGAUGGUGUUUAACCUGCUCUUCACCUCAAUCCCUCCUAUUAUUGUUGGUAUUUAUGAUCAAGAUGCACCAGCGGAGGUGCUGCUUUCCCAACCCCAGCUGUAUGCCCAAGGCCGUGAGGGCAGACUCUACAAGUCGCAUUCCUUCUGGAUCAAUAUUGUUGAUGCAAUAUAUCAGGCCAUCGUUUUGUUCUUCUUUGCUGCUGUUCUCCACGAGGACUCUGAUGCCGGGAUGUAUGAGUUUGGCUUGACAAUAACGCAUGCCACACUUGUGACGCAACUGCUACACCUUAGUAUUGAAACCAAGUCUUGGACAAUUAUCCAUGUCUUCGGGAUAGUGGUGUCAUUCAUAAUUUUCUACGGGUUUGGUGUGCUGUACACCAUGACUUGUGUAUCGUGUUUUGGGUCACCUAGUCAGUUUGGAGAGUUGAGUCAUGCCAUGCAGUCUCCCAUUCAUUGGCUGACGGUUGUUCUCACAUCAGUACUUGCAAUCCUACCUAGGUUUGUUGUUCGCUCUCUAAGCUGUUCUCUAAAUCCUGACGACAUAACUCAAGUUUUAAUAGAGAACAGACGGUCCAAGCGCCAUGACUACAUGACCUCAUGGUCACGAUCUACCUCUUCAUCUUCUGUGUACAGACGCCGAGAGCCUGACCACUAACCUUAAGAGUGGGCCAGAGGAGGGCAACGAUAACCUGAUAACUUGCAAAAGUCCCGAGAGGAACAAGAGAUCAAUUUUUUUCUCUCCUUAUUUUUUGCUUAAUUUAAAAAAAAUUAAAAAGAAUUACAGUCAAGUUACAAAAAAACUUCAAAUUGUUGUUUGCUUCUUUUGUGUUUGUACACGCACAUAAAAGACCCCGUUUUUUUUCAUUUGAUUUCCUGUACAUAUCAAUUUUUUGUUCCCCAAUAAAUAUACGUUUCAUGUUAUAAAUUAUUAAGAUAGUCUUCCAUACAAGUCCAUUCUUUUUCUUGCCAACCUCUUUAGUCCUGACAUUUCAAGUAAUUAAGGAUUUAUCUUGCAUUCCCUGGAUGCACCGAAUGUUCCUGGCAAUAAAGGAGUCAGACCCAGGCCCAACUAUGAGGCAGAGACUGGUGACGAAGCCUCAGAACCCUUAAGCUCCAUGGUCACCACCACCACAGUUCUAACAACCACAGACGAAGCUGAAGUAUGAGAUCGAUUCAUAAGGUGGCAGAAUUCGUAGGGUUGUUGUAAAGGAAACGAGUGAGCAGUGAUCCCCUUGUACUCUUGUCUAGAACCAUAUGAAGAAAAGGUGUCCAGUGAGUGACGGUGGUAGAACAGGUGGUUCACCAAGCUGUGCGGAGAUAAGGUGGAAAUGUGGAUACAAGCAAAUGACUGUUGAUUUUCUGCAACUUGUUAGGGUUGAGGGAAUGAAGUGAUGCAGCACAUUGCAGAUUGGAAGGGUAAAAGAAAAAGAGAACAAAUUGAAGACAAUCACUGCAAUAUGUACACCAUUUUAUCCAUCAACAGAUGAGUGUGAAAUGGGGUGCGAUUGCCAGAAAGUGCUAAGAUGUGGCUUCAGUGCUAUGAGGCAGGUCUAGUUUUCUAUUAAUUUGUCGCCAGUAAAGCACCACCUCAGGAAAUUCAGGUAGUGUAACAGUGUCAGAAAAAAAAUGUCAAAAAAAAAAAAAGAAUCUACUCAUAGGUAGUAUAUGUAGUGUUAUAAUUUGUUAUAAUUUUAUUUAUCAUAAUUAUUAUUUUGUUUUCUUUUCUUUUUUACUUUGUGAUUUGCUCAUGCUUAUACAUGCCUCAUACAUUUCCUCCUUCAUCUGGAAAAUUUUAACCUGAUACAAUAAAAAAUUAUAAAACAGUGGUACAUAAAGUGCAGUUGUCAACGAAAAUCAUGCAUAUUGAUUUUUUAACAGCUUAAUAUUUAAUUUUGGGCUUAAGCCAAAAUAUUCCAAAGAUCAUGGCAACAGUUAUCUUUUCACUUUGUUAUAGAAAAUAUUUGUAUAAGGAAGGUACAUAUCAGAUUUUUUGCUUCACAUUAGUGUUUUUCCUUUUUCUUUUUUUUCUAAGCACAUUUAAAAAUCAAUCAGUGAAUGGGAGAAAAGGUAAUUAACGGUGACAUAAUCCAAGUGAUUUUUUCAACAUUCCAGUAAUCUGUAGUGAAGGGUACUUAACAUGUCAAAGCCAAAGAUGCUCCCAGCUAAGAUGUGACUGUUUUUGGAAUGCAUAGAUGGAGAAAGUACUUUUACAUAGGUUUAGCUUACUUCUUCAGGGGACUUGCAAUUAUGUGCCUUCGUGGUUUUGUCAUGUGCUUCCAUACUUGCGCAAGUCUGGAAGUUGUGCCAAUGAAUGCUGUGACAAAUAUGGACUUUGUUUGCUGUAAUUUUAGGAAUACAUUUUUGCAAUGAAUGCAGAUGUGACACAAGUCUUGAAUGAUGCAAAUCAUGAUUGUUUAAUUUUGUUCUUUAUAUUUGUUUUUCUUUGUGAUCAUGAUUUAUAAUACCUUCUAAAGCAUAUAUGGUUUUAGAUGUUCUUAUUUGUUGUGGAUAUUCUCUCUAUCCAUGUUUCACACAAUGACAAAGUUCUGCAGUAUUUCAAAUUUUUAAUAAUUCAUCGUCAUUGAACAUAAUUGGUAAUGAAAGUCAUUUCUACGCUCAAGUAAAAAACAAAAUAAAAAAAAGUAUAUAGCUAACGAAAAUUGAUGCUGAUAUUUCAUGCUAUUUUUGUUUAAAGAAAAAGAAAUAAAAGUCUUGCCUUACCAAUUUUUCCAACUCCAGGCAUUGUUGGAUAUCAAAUGCCUUCUUAUUUUGAGAUGCUACAUAUAUUACUGUAAGACACUAAGUAAUUGUCAUUUAUUAUUCAGUCUUUAAUAGUAAGAUGUCAAAGGGACCAGUAAUUAUAUAAUUAUCUGUUUGUGCUUUUUUUUUCUUUUUUUUUUUCUUUUUUUCUUUCUCUUUUCUCUCUCCAGAAGAUUGGAAGCAUUUCAGAUUGUUUUAAUUGGAAUUUCCAGGUAAUCUAUUUUAUGUAAAUGAUUUAUGAAGCAUGAAUUUUGUUUUCCUUUUUUUCAUUAUUUUUUUUUUAAUACUUUCGUGUUAACUUGAAGAAAAUCACCUUCACUUAUAAUUACUCUUUGUAAAUUAUAUUAUCUCAUUAACAUAUCUGAUAGAAGUAUAUAAGAAUAUUUUAAACCUGCCAGAUAUUUUCAAUUUAUAAUCAUAUUCAUAUUCAUUACUGGUAAAGGAGGGCAUUAUUUCAACCAUGAGUGUAUGAAAUUCUACAUAUGAUAAGCAGUGAGGUUGUGUAAUUUCUUUAUUACUAAAAUAUAUUGAGAAAUCUGAUAGAUGAAGUGUAAUCCCGUAUUCAGAUACAGUAUCUGCCAUAUCUUGGGCAUUAAAGCCUGCAGUCUUUCUUGUGCCAAAUAGGCCAUAUGGAAUAAUUUUUGCUGAAUCUAGAAUUUGCAACCUGUUACCAGAAAAUCAUACCAAAAUUAAUAAAAUUGCAUGAUGAAGGCUUUUGUCAAGUAUGCAUUAUAGAGCACAGUUGCAAUGCUGUCGAGUAACAUGGAGUUGUGCACAUCAAGUUCAUGCUAUUGGAUUGCUAGCAUUAUCUUGCAUUUUAAAUCUUUGUGAAGUGUCUGUUGCCUACUGUGAUGCCACAAUAACUUUUGUUUGGGGGUAAGAUGUAGUUAAGUUGGAAUGAAACAAGGUUGUACAUAGAAUUUCAGGAUUAAUGCCAGUGAUCAAUGUGUUUGGUACAGGAUCAUUUUUUUUAAAACAGUAUUUGCAAACAUGUGUCUGAUGGUUUGGCAUUAAGGUUUGCAAUCUGGAAAACUUAGUAUCCAUACUUUUAAAAAGAGAAUACAAAGUUAAUCUUUAAUUUUAUACCGUUAUUUAUUGAAACAAGUUCUGUGGGAGUUUCCUUUCUCUACAAGUAUUCUAGUCAGUUUAAGGUUGAUUGUUCUUUUUUUUUUCUUUGUUCAUUUUUAAUUUAGAAGGAAAAGAAGGUACUUAGCCAAUUGCUUGUGUAAUUAAUGCUGAUUACUGUGCAAGUAACAUUUUUUUCAGCAUUUGCCAUAAAUUUUAUAUACAGUACAUACCAGGAUAAACACCAAUUCUUUUCAAUAAGAAUGUGUUGAAUACAUUCCAGUAAUUUUUGUGUUGUAAUCUCUGGUGAACUGAUUAAUGUAUAUAAUGAAUUGCCUAAUUGGAGGUCUUUCCUAAUAGCAGUUCAGGUAUUUUUUACUUUUAUCUAAAUUGGAGUUAUGAUUUUGGAGAUACACGCUCGGUCCCAUUGUUAACGUGAAACAAUAUCCCUGUGAUUUGUACAUAUAUAUUUGUCAUACUGUGAGUUGGCUGCACAUGAUAUAUCUUAAAUACCAAUGAUUUUUACUGUAAUGUCCACAAUGGAAAGGUUUAAUUAUUUUGGCAUUUCUUUCUUCUUUUUUUUUUUUUUUUUAGGGGAGAUUUGUUUCAUUGUGAAAUUUUAGUUUAUCAAAAAAAGUAUAUAUAUAUCAUGAUGUGGCUGAGGGUGAAGAUACAUACCAUACAAACUAUCUGGAUGCUAUGUGUUGUAAGCAUUGCACAAGAUAUUGUGUACUGAAAGUUUUGUUGAAAAUAUAUUUAUAGGCCAUAAUAAAUAUUUUAGUGUA